rnacentral:rRNA from 1 species
UACGUAGGGGGCAAGCGUUGUCCGGAUUUAUUGGGCGUAAAGAGCUCGUAGGCGGUUUGUUGCGUCGGCUGUGAAAUCCCGAGGCUCAACCUCGGGUCUGCAGUCGAUACGAGCAAACUAGAGUGUUGCAGGGGAGACUGGAAUUCCUGGUGUAGCGGUGGAAUGCGCAGAUAUCAGGAGGAACACCGGUGGCGAAGGCGGGUCUCUGGGCCGACAUUGACGCUGAGGAGCGAAAGCGUGGGGAGCGAACAGG